rnacentral:rRNA from 1 species
UACGUAGGGGGCAAGCGUUGUCCGGAUUUAUUGGGCGUAAAGAGCGUGUAGGCGGUUAGGUAGGUCCGUUGUGAAAACUCGAGGCUCAACCUCGAGACGCCGAUGGAAACCAUCUGACUAGAGUCCGGAAGAGGAGAGUGGAAUUCCUGGUGUAGCGGUGAAACGCGCAGAUAUCAGGAAGAACACCCGUGGCUAAGGCGGCUCUCUAGUACGUGACUGACGCUGAGACGCGAAAGCGUGGGGAGCGAACAGG